AGUGAACGCUGGCGGUAGGCCUAACACAUGCAAGUCGAACGGCAGCACAGUAAGAGCUUGCUCUUACGGGUGGCGAGUGGCGGACGGGUGAGGAAUACAUCGGAAUCUACUUUUUCGUGGGGGAUAACGUAGGGAAACUUACGCUAAUACCGCAUACGACCUACGGGUGAAAGCAGGGGAUCUUCGGACCUUGCGCGAUUGAAUGAGCCGAUGUCGGAUUAGCUAGUUGGCGGGGUAAAGGCCCACCAAGGCGACGAUCCGUAGCUGGUCUGAGAGGAUGAUCAGCCCCACUGGAGCUGAGACCCGGCCCAGCCUCCUCCGGGCGGCAGCAGUGGGUAAUCUUGGACAAUGGGCGCAAUCCUUCUCCAGCCAUUCCGCGUGGGUGAAGAAGGCCUUCGGGUUGUAAAGCCCUUUUGUGGGGAAAGAAAAGCAGCAGGUUAAGACCCCGCUGUUCUGACGGUACCCAAAGAAUAAGCACCGGCGAACUUCGU
rnacentral:rRNA from 1 species